ensembl:lncRNA
UGAAGGGGAGUUUGAAAUGAAAAGGGAGAUGGAGAGAGGGAGAUGGGAUCGGAGGCUAGGAGAGAAGAGAUUGCGAUAUUAGAUCUGACAAACGGUCAAAACUGACUCAUAAUCCAAACUGACUCUUAAUUGUAUCUGAUUCUUUCAUCCUGAUGCCCCUCAUCGUCCUCAUGUCCCCUCCUUAAUUUCUCCUUUUUCUUUUCCUUUACACUCUUUCCAAUUCUCUCUCUCUCAUUAUCCCAUGUGUGGGUGCAGGGCACAACUUCAAUGUCACCCGCUUCUUCAAGGAGUCUCUAAACCUUCCCCUUUUUCUCCCUGUCCCUCAUGUCCAACUCAUUUUUACCCCAUCCCUGCACCUCUCCAACCCCUCCAACGUGCCCCUUGAGUCCCGGUACUCUCGCCCCGUGCAGCUGAUCAGGGAUGGCCAGAUUGUGGACCAGGACCCCCGGUACUGGGGCCUCCUUUCUCUGGGGAGAAACGGGACUGUCAACGAGGUGGUCAUCACCAGGCUGAGUGCAAAGCAUGAUGGGAUGUAUGAGAUCCGAGAUCAGGGCGGCAACCUGGUGUCGUCCACCAUUCUCCAUGUGGUCGGUGAGUGACUGUGUGUGUGUGAGUGAGCAGGAGCUUUCCCCUUUACAUGAUGCAGAGAUAUCUUUCUUCAACUCCCCGCUCACUCACUCUUUCUCCCUUCCUUUUUCUCUCUCCAGAUAAGACUGCUAGAUGGAGAGCAGUCCUCAAGUCCAUCAGUGUUCCUUUUGGCAUGUUUGUGACUUUGGCUGGUUUCAUCCUAUUUAUGAAGCGCUACCCUAACUGCAGCCUCACUAUGAUAAUCAACGGCCUAAGAGGUCACCAUACAACAGCAUCUAACCAUCAAAGAGUCAAUGUCCAGGACUACAGUCCACCCAGCCUCCAGCCCUCUGGCAUUUAGUCAUUCAAAGCAGAUUGUAACGGCAAAAAUAUGGAGCCCCAGACCUACACAUUCGGGUUACAUUCCUGUCGUGGACAGUGGACCACAGCCCUCCCCUGAGCCAGUGAGGACAGCGAGACAACAGGAGACCGAUAGACUUAGAGUUGAGACUGCCACUACUCACACUCCUAGUGAAGAGGAGACUGCUGACAGAGAGAGGGAGAUCUCCUUUCAAAUCAAAUCAAAUCAAAUUUAUUUAUAUAGCCCUUCGUACAUCAGCUGAAAUCUCAAAGUGCUGUACAGAAACCCAGCCUAAAACCCCAAACAGCAAGCAAUGCAUGUGAAAGAAGCACGGUGGCUGGGAAAAACUCCCUAGGAAAAACUCCUGAGAAAGGCCAAAAACCUAGGAAGAAACCUAGAGAGGAACCAGGCUAUGAGGGGUGGCCAGUCCUCUUCUGGCUGUGCCGGGUGGAUAUUAUAACAGAACAUGGUCAAGAUGUUAAAAUGUUCGUAAAUGACCAGCAUGGUCAAAUAAUAAUAAUCAUAGUAAUUGUCGAGGGUGCAACAAGCACGUCCGGUGAAACAGGUCAGGGUUCCGUAGCCCGCAGGCAGAACAGUUGAAACUGGAGCAGCAGCAUGGCCAGGUGGACUGGGGACAGCAAGGAGUCAUCAUGCCAGGUAGUCCUGAGGCAUGGUCCUAGGGCUCAGGUCCUCCGAGAGAAAGAAAGAAAGAAAGAGAGAAGAGAGAAUUAGAGAGAGCAUAUUUACAUUCACACAGGACACCGGAUAAGACAAGAGAAUACUCCAGAUGUAACAGACUGACCCUAGCCCCCCGACACAUAAACUACUGCAGCAUAAAUACUGGAGGCUGAGACAGGAGGGAUCAGAAGACACUGUGGCCCCAUCCGAUGAUACCCCCGGACAGGGCCAAACAGGCAGGAUAUAACCCCACCCACUUUGCCAAAGCACAGCCCCCACACCACUAGAGGGAUAUCUACAACCACCAACUUACCGUCCGAAGACAAGGCCGAGUAUAGCCCACAAAGAUCUCCGCCACGGCACAACCCAAGGGGGGGGCGCCAACCCAGACAGGAAGACCACGUCAGUGGCUCAACCUACUCAAGUGACGCACCCCUCCCAUGGACGGCAUGGAAGAACACCAGUAAGUCAGUGACUCAGCCCCUGUAAAAGGGUUAGAGGCAGAGAAUCCCAGUGGGAAGAGGGGAACCGACAAGGCAGAGACAGCAAGGGCGGUUCGUUGCUCCAGCCUUUCCGUUCACCUUCACACUCCUGGGCCAGACUAUACUUAAUCAUAGGACCUACUGAAGAGAUAAGUCUUCAGUAAAGACUUAAAGGUUGAGACUGAGUCUGCGUCUCUCACAUGGGUAGGCAGACCAUUCCAUAAAAAUGGAGCUCUAUAGGAGAAAGCCCUACCUCCAGCCGUUUGCUUAGAAAUUCUAGGGACAAUUAGGAGGCCUGCGUCUUGUGACCGUAGCGUACGUGUAGGUAUGUACGGCAGGACCAAAUCGGAAAGAUAGGUAGGAGCAAGCCCAUGUAAUGCUUUGUAGGUUAGCAGUAAAACCUUGAAAUCAGCCCUUGCCUUAACAGGAAGCCAGUGUAGGGAGGCUAGCACUGGAGUAAUAUGAUCAAAUUUUUUGGUUCUAGUCAGGAUUCUAGCAGCCGUAUUUAGCACUAACUGAAGUUUGUUUAGUGCUUUAUCCAGGUAGCCGGAAAGUAGAGCAUAGCAGUAGUCGAGCCUAGAAGUAACAAAAGCAUGGAUUAAUUUUUCUGCGUCAUUUUUGGACA